AACGCGAAGUAAUCUCAACUAUCGCAAUCCGCCCGUCAACUCAAGGGAGCCGGAAUACCCGACGUCCGCGUUUAUCGCGGCCACGGUAAGUUCGGUGACAGGAGU
rnacentral:rRNA from 1 species